rnacentral:lncRNA from 1 species
UAAAUAAUUUAGAGAUAAUACCUCCAUUUUCCAGGCGGGCUCCUAACUUCGACAAUUUCUUAAAAACAUAACGCCUCCAUUCUCCAUGCGGGCUCCUGACCUCUUCGACUUAAAAUUAUAACAACCUCCGUUUUACAGGCGGGCUCCUGACUUCUUCAACUUAAAAUAUAACAACCUCCGUUCUACAGGCGGGCUCCUGACUUCUUCAACUUAAAAUAUAACAACCUCCGUUCUACAGGCGGGCUCCUGACUUCAGCUACUUCUUAAAAAUAUAGCGCCUCCAUUCUCCAAGCGGGUUCCUGACUUCUUCAACUUAAAAUAUAACAACCUCCGUUCUACAAGCGGGCUCCUGACUUCAGCUACUUCUUAAAAAUAUAAUACCUCCAUUCUCCAGGCGGGCUCCUGACUUCACUACUUCCCAAAACAUAAUACCACCAUUCUCCAGGCGGGCUCCUGACUUCAACUUAAAACUGUAACAACCUCCGUUCUCCAGGCGGGCUCCUGACUUCAACUACAACUUGAGAAUAUAACAACCUCUAUUUUCCAGGC